GAUGAAGAACGCAGCGAAAUGCGAUCAGUAAUGUGAAUUGCAGAAUUCAGUGAAUCAUCGAAUCUUUGAACGCACAUUGCGCCCAUUAGUAUUCUAGUGGGCAUGCCUGUUCGAGCGUCAUUAAUUCCACUUAAGCCCUGCUUAGUGUUGGGAAUCUACUCUAGUGGUGCUACCCUGGAGCUACCCCUGAAAGGGGGCUGGCCCGGUAGCUACCCUGUAGUUCCUCAAAGAUAGUGCGCGGAGUUGCGUGGUCCUCUGAGCUUAGUAACUAUACACCUAGCUUUUGAGUGUCCCGCGGCGCCUGCCGUUUAAACCCCAUCUUUUAAUGGUUGACCUCGGAUCAGGUAGGAAUACCCGCUGAACUUAAGCAUAUCAAUAAGCGGAGGA
rnacentral:misc_RNA from 1 species